CAAAUAUUGAUCAAGCCGAGGGGUUAUCCUUUUACCACCUCAAUCAUAGACAUAGUACACAUUCAGGUAUGGGAUACAACUAGGUUCGGGUCACCAACACCUAGCCCGAUCAUUCAUCCAGUGC